CGCCCUUAGAGUUUGAUCAUGGCUCAGGACGAACGCUGGCGGCGUGCCUAAUACAUGCAAGUCGAGCGAGGAUCCCUUCGGGGUGCUAGCGGCGGAUGGGUGAGUAACACGUGGGCAAUCUGCCCUAAAGACUGGGAUACCACUUGGAAACAGGUGCUAAUACCGGAUAACAACAUGAUCGCAUGAUUCAAGUUGAAAGGCGGCAAUGUCACUUUAGGAUGAGCCCGCGGCGCAUUAGCUAGUUGGUGGGGUAAAGGCCUACCAAGGCAAUGAUGCGUAGCCGAGUUGAGAGACUGAUCGGCCACAUUGGGACUGAGACACGGCCCAAACUCCUACGGGAGGCAGCAGUAGGGAAUCUUCCACAAUGGACGCAAGUCUGAUGGAGCAACGCCGCGUGAGUGAAGAAGGUUUUCGGAUCGUAAAGCUCUGUUGUUGGUGAAGAAGGAUAGAGGCGUAAGUCUUUAUUUGACGGUAAUCAACCAGAAAGUCACGGCUAACUACGUGCCAGCAGCCGCGGUAAUACGUAGGUGGCAAGCGUUGUCCGGAUUUAUUGGGCGUAAAGCGAGCGCAGGCGGAAUGAUAAGUCUGAUGUGAAAGCCCACGGCUCACCCGUGGAACUGCAUCGGAAACUGUCAUUCUUGAGUGCAGAAGAGGAGAGUGGAAUUCCAUGUGUAGCGGUGGAUGCGUAGAUAUAUGGAAGAACACCAGUG
rnacentral:rRNA from 1 species